UUACCAGCACGUUAUGGUGGGCACUCUAAGGAGACUGCCGGUGGACAAACCGGAGGAAGGUGGGGAUGACGUCAAGUCAUCAUGGCCCUUACGGCCUGGGCUACACACGUGCUACAAUGGUCGGUACAAAGGGUUGCCAAGCCGCGAGGUGGAGCUAAUCCCAUAAAACCGAUCGUAGUCCGGAUCGCAGUCUGCAACUCGACUGCGUGAAGUCGGAAUCGCUAGUAAUCGUGAAUCAGAAUGUCACGGUGAAUACGUUCCCGGGCCUU
rnacentral:rRNA from 1 species